UCCUCGACACUGUCAACGUCUUAGUCUCAAGCCAACUUUCUGAGCUGUCUUUCAACUUUCCUCUGUCUGAUAAUCCAAGGAUGUUAUGGCUGAGGAUGGCCAGGUGGUACCGUGGGCCUGUACUUCCCAACUCUUUCCAUGUUGCAGCACUUCCAUAAAGUGAGGACACUGAUGUGACACACCAGGCUACUGCAUGGAAAUGACAUGUCCACGAAACUGUCAAGAGGAACCACUGGAAUACUAGAAAUAAAAUGUAUAACCCUCAGAGCAGCACAGGGGUAAAGUAGAAAAGAGAACACUGAGUCAGAAAGCAGGAAAGGGGAGAAGGAAAUAAAAUGU